rnacentral:rRNA from 1 species
UACGUAGGGUGCGAGCGUUGUCCGGAAUUACUGGGCGUAAAGAGCUCGUAGGUGGUUUGUCGCAUUGUCCGUGAAAACUCACAACUCAAUUGUGGGCGUGCGGGCGAUACGGGCAGACUGGAGUACUGCAGGGGAGACUGGAAUUCCUGGUGUAGCGGUGGAAUGCGCAGAUAUCAGGAGGAACACCGGUGGCGAAGGCGGUUCUCUGGGCCUUACCUGACGCUGAGGAGCGAAAGCGUGGGGAGCGAACAGG